rnacentral:rRNA from 1 species
AGCGUAAUAGCUCACUGGUCGAGUCGGCCUGCGCGGAAGAUGUAACGGGGCUAAACCAUGCACCGAAGCUGCGGCAGCGACACUGUGUGUUGUUGGGUAGGGGAGCGUUCUGUAAGCCUGUGAAGGUAUGCUGUGAGGCAUGCUGGAGGUAUCAGAAGUGCGAAUGCUGACAUAAGUAACGAUAAAGCGGGUGAAAAGCCCGCUCGCCGGAAGACCAAGGGUUCCUGUCCAACGUUAAUCGGGGCAGGGUGAGUC